CACAAAUUAUGCUAUAGCAUACCCUAGAGUAUACUCAACGGAUUUCACACUGGAAAUUGUCUUAAAAAAAGAAGAGAGAACAUGUAUUGCCAUCCCCCAGUGAUCACAAGUUGAGCCCAUGUCACACUGUUGUGAACUACAUGAACUAUCAACGCUCUGUAUGCAUUUGCAUUUAAUGUAAUAAUAAUCUUUUUUUCAUUUUCAUCAACGCUAGAGCUUCUACUUUAAUUACCAAUAUAAGAACUGCCAAUAAAUAGGAUAAAAUAUUGCGGGAACAUUCAUUUUGAAAUCAAUUACAAAGAAGUCCAUACCUUUUAAAACCUGCUUCUUCACCUCAAGAAAAUGAAGAGAACCGGUUCUUCUUACAACAAUAACAGGCCUACAUGUGAAAAGAAUUCAAUUAUUUGCCAAAUCAGUUAAGCAGCUUAACUUAAGCUUGUAGCUUCGAUUAUCAAGCUGUGUUGAAAAUGAGUGGAUUGAGUGCACAACCCCUGUACCACACAAACAAAACAAAGUAAAACACGAAUUUGCGAUGAGCGCAUUCAGUGAAGCUCAUUUCAAUUCUUUACGUCGUUUGACGCACUCAUGAACGCGACAAAUUGAACGCAUCAACAAUGUUCCCGCUAGAAGUGAGCUGUCAGACGCUUAGAUGCAGGACCUUCGAUUGAGUGUACAUAAUUUACUUCUUAUAUUUCAACUAAACGUUUCAAGUGCCUUUAGGUGAAAGAAUUUCAUUUUGUUAAAGCUGCAGAUGGUAGUGAUGAAUAUGACUUUAAGUAUGAGCUGGAAAAUGGUGAAAUAUUUCAUGGAAAACCUAUAUUUUAAACAAUCCCCGCGUGCAUUUAUAUGUUAUAUUUGGUCCAGAUGCGACCAUUGGGCUCAAUUUUCAUCAUAUGAAUACAUAUACAAAAAAUCCUUUUCUAAAAUGGUUCGAUUGGCCCAGUGAACUAAUGAUAAAAUAAUCAUGAGAGAUGAUUCAGCUCUAUUUGAUCUUACAAUUUCUACCGGUAACCUUCUGAUCACACCUUAUGCAACGAAAUGGAACCUGGAAAAAUUUUGCUUCACCAAAGCAGAUAAAAAGAAAAAUACUUUUGAUUAUGUGUGAGUCACAUUAUGCAGAGAAGCUGAAUAAUAUUCAAACAAUUCCAAAUGAUUUCAUGCGUCAAAUUGGGUAUCUUCGGAUAAAAAUUCUAGGACGCUGGAUGACACGUCUUCUUAUGAAGGAAAAGAUGAAUCAGGUGAUCCAUUGCUAUUGCUGAUUAUCCUUACUGUGAUGGUGUAUAUGAAGUGAAAUUCACUGAAAAUCAAUUACAAUCUGACGAAACAUUUUGCAAAAGCGUUUCCUCCGUUAUUUCACAGCACGCAAUCUUUGGGGCAAUCACCGUGAAUGAUGUGAACACAAAUCUCAUGUAAAUUUUGAUUAAGUCCAAUAAAUGACAAAUGUAACUGAAAUUUUAUCGCACUCUCAUAAUAAUUUAUGAAUAAUGAAGUGGAAUUGAAUAUACAUAUAUAUCGCAAUUCGCAAAAAAUCAACAAUAAUAUCCAACACCUUUUGGUUUUCUUAAACUGGACUAUUUACUCAA